rnacentral:rRNA from 1 species
UACGUAGGGUGCAAGCGUUGUCCGGAAUUAUUGGGCGUAAAGAGCUCGUAGGCGGUCUGUCGCGUCUGCUGUGAAAACUCGGGGCUUAACCCCGGGCCUGCAGUGGGUACGGGCAGACUAGAGUGCGGUAGAGGAGAAUGGAAUUCCCGGUGUAGCGGUGAAAUGCGCAGAUAUCGGGAAGAACACCCGUGGCGAAGGCGGUUCUCUGGGACGGUACUGACGCUGAGACGCGAAAGCGUGGGGAGCGAACAGG